rnacentral:tRNA from 1 species
GCCAACGUAGCUCAGCUGGUAGAGCAACUCCAUGGUAAGGAGUAGGUCCGCGGUUCGAUUCCGCGCGUUGGCU